rnacentral:rRNA from 1 species
UACGUAGGGUGCAAGCGUUAAUCGGUAUUACUGGGCGUAAAGCGUGCGCAGGCGGUUUUGUAAGUCUGAUGUGAAAUCCCCGGGCUCAACCUGGGAAUUGCAUUGGAGACUGCAAGGCUAGAAUCUGGCAGAGGGGGGUAGAAUUCCACGUGUAGCAGUGAAAUGCGUAGAGAUGUGGAGGAACACCGAUGGCGAAGGCAGCCCCCUGGGUCAAGAUUGACGCUCAUGCACGAAAGCGUGGGGAGCAAACAGG